ncrna:unclassified sequences skipping-rope RNA
AAACCAUGAGGUGGUAAAUUUCGUUGCUGCCACACGCCUACACGGCCAAAGAGAUGCAGGAGAGGCGACGCCUGCCGUGGUUC